rnacentral:rRNA from 1 species
CGGGUGAGUAACGCGUGGGGACCUACCUCUUAGUGGGGGAUAACGGUUGGAAACGACCGCUAAUACCGCAUACGCCCUUCGGGGGAAAGAUUUAUCGCUAAGAGAUGGACCCGCGUUGGAUUAGAUAGUUGGUGAGGUAACGGCUCACCAAGUCAGCGAUCCAUAGCUGGUUUGAGAGGAUGAUCAGCCACACUGGGACUGAGACACGGCCCAGACUCCUACGGGAGGCAGCAGUGGGGAAUAUUGGACAAUGGGGGCAACCCUGAUCCAGCCAUGCCGCGUGAGUGAAGAAGGCCUUCGGGUUGUAAAGCUCUUUCAGAUGCGAAGAUGAUGACGGUAACAUCAGAAGAAGCCCCGGCUAAUUUC